rnacentral:rRNA from 1 species
UGCCAGCCGCCGCGGUAAGACGGAGGAUGCAAGUGUUAUCCGGAAUUACUGGGCGUAAAGCGCGCGUAGGCGGCUAUUUAAGUCAGAUGUGAAAGUCCACGGCUCAACCGUGGAAGUGCAUUUGAAACUGGAUGGCUUGAGUACUGGAGGGGGUGGUGGAAUUCCCGGUGUAGAGGUGAAAUUCGUAGAUAUCGGGAGGAAUACCGGUGGCGAAGGCAGCUUACUAAGCUACGAUUGACGCUGAGGCACGAAAGCGUGGGGAGCGAACAGGAUUAGAUA